UCCCAGAUAGCUCAGUGGUAAAGAGUCUAGCCUGCCAAUGCUGGAGAUGCAGGUUCCAUCCCUGAUUUGGGAC
rnacentral:tRNA from 1 species